rnacentral:lncRNA from 7 species
UAUGAGGUGAAUUUCCAAAUGGAUGAUUCCCAUCAGCGUUAGGAUGAUGAAGACCUGCUUGCAGAUGUUCAACCAUUCCCGGGAAAGCUGGGUUUCAUCAUGCAUGACUGUUACUUGGGAAGGCAAAAUCCUCUGGCAUAUCAAGUAUCUUCAUCUUUGACAAGCAGAGUGACCAUGGCAUGACCAUACCACCUUCAGUUCAAUGAGCUUUCAGAUGACAGUCCCAUGAGUGAUAGACUAAAGUGAUUAGCUUCGAAGGACUGUUUGCUGACAGUACACAAAGAUUAUGAUGAAGAUGAGGGAAAAUGUGACAUUCAUGAGUAACUAAACAAUCCUGUGAAUCACAGUUGUGUGAGAAGAGGUUGGAUGGCUUCCUCACCUUGAAAGUGUCUCUUUCAUAGGUGAUCAUUAUAUAACCAUGAAGCUAUCUGAGCAAUGUUAUCAACAUAGGAAAUUAUUAACUGUUCUUAUGUUGGCUUUAAUCAGCUUGAUUGCAAUUGAUGUGGUAUGACUGUAUGAAGGGAAGCAGUUCGGAAUAUAUUGGGAAUAAACCAGUGAAGCUCUAUUGGAAGGCUCGGAGUGUAAGACUUCAUCUGCUGUAGCAACUUUCCUGUAUAUUACCCAACAAUUUUGUCCAGGCCAAAGAGCUGCAUAUGUAUUUUAACAAUGAGAAUUGUGUUAGGUUACAUUAUAUUAUCUAGGGACAAUUGUGUAUUUGUAUUAGUGAUCAUUAUUCUCCUUGUAGCAGCUAAACUUUUCAACUCCUAUUUAAGGUCUGCUGGUCAUGGGAAUUAUAUGUACAGAUUGUUAUAGUCUUGUACUUGUCCGUUGGACUUGAUCAUCUUUCGAGGUCCCUUCCAAUCCCUGGCAUUCUGUGAUUCUGUGAUCUUCAAUAAAUCUUUCAAGCAGAAAAAUAUGGUAAGGAGAUAAAUUAGCUAUCAAGGUGUUCCUGGCACAUUGCUGAAGAUUUUCACAUAUCUACAGUUAAAGAAAACAGCCUACUCUGAAGUACCAAUAAAUAAUAAAAGAUCAAGUUGUUAAGGAGCAGCGAUGGAGAAUCAUGGUAGGACAGGAAAAGGAUUAGAAAUGGAGCAUCACUGCAGAAAUUUGCUAUACAUUUGGUCUAAGAAACUAAGCAGUCAUCAAAGGCUGAAGUGGAUUUCAUUCCUGAUUUUCAGAUAGCUACUCUCUUGUAGUCAGUAAAGGAGGUUACAGAUCACAAAAGAAGACAUCUGCUCUCCUAACCUGGACUGUGACUGUGGAGAGAAUGUUUAAUGUAUGUGGUAGGAAGAUAGCAAGCACAAGGCACAACCUACUUGUUUAUCUCCUAGCACCAAGGAAGCAGAAAGCUGAGGACAAACAGUUCCUGGCAGCUAGAAUCUGGAAAGCUAAAAGGGGGAAAUGAACAAGUGUCAGAAACUAGCAGCUUCGUUCCAGGGUAGAUCACAGAAUUGGAAAGAGAAGGAGAAACAGCUUCAGGGUGCUUUCUUGAGGUGAAUAGGCCUAAUCGAACAUCACAAUGAACUUGUCUCCUACUCCAUUUAGACUUUAACUUGAGCCGCAGCAUAUCCAAGUUUCUCUGUUCCUGCACUGUCAUCAGACAUCCGUGAAGUAAAGACUGGUGUGGAGCAUGUCAUCCCUUAGCCAGUGCUGACUUAGUAAAGGGAUUUGUGAUGGUAUUUCUCCAGGUAAUAGAAUAACUGACAUCUAUGCCUAGGAUACAAGGAUUUAAAACUCCUACUUGUAUCAAACGUAAUACAAUACUGAAGUAGGCAGUGGGAAUAGUAGCCUGUACAGAAAGAAGGCUGUAAAAAUGUUUCAAGAAGAAAUGAAUAGUCAAGAGGAAGCAAACAAAAGAAAAUUAUUUGAAAGUCAAAUGUAAUAAGUCACUGAGAUGUAAUUUCUAAUACUGUUGUUAAAAUAUAAUCUUAUAUUGCAUAUUUAUAAGGUGCUUAGUUUACUCUGCUCUUCUCUCUCCUGGAAUGAAUAGAUUAUUUUUUAUUAUUUUAAAGGAAAAUGGUUGACAAAGGAGUGCCCUACUGUAUAUUCAUUUUUCAGGGACUCUUACUAGAGAUCACUAUCUAAUUAAUUUCCUGCUCUGUGAUAGGAUGUUAUUUCUUUUCAGUUGUUAGUAUUCUGUUGUCUAAAUAGACAGUAUUUUUCAGAAGUAUGAUAUUCCUCCAAGUUCUUAUUUCUAGUCCCCAUUUUUGUGCUUUAAAUAAAGAGUAUGUGCUCU